GUCUAGCCUCGGUGGUCAGUGUCAGGUUUCAGCUGUGCCUUUUGAUUUGCUAUCCAUCCUGUCAAGAAGCCAUGGAAACGCGGCUCCACCACACCUUGACAGCAGUAGCAUCCCAGAUCCAUGCUGUGUCGUCGUGUGACUGUUGUGGCUGAACAGGUUGAGCUCGUGCGACUAGGCCUACUCUCUGCCGUUCUGAAGGUGCCAGGGGGGGGGGAAAAAACGUCCUUCAGCAAGCUGGACCUGAGCCCUAGGACCAUGCCUCAGGACUACCUGGCCUGAUGACUCCUUGCUGUCCCCAGUCCACCUGGCCGUGCUGCUGCUCCAGUUUCAACUGUUCUGCCUGCAGCUAUGGAACACUGACCUGUUCACCGGACAUGCUACCUGUCCCAGACCUGCUGUUUUCAACUCUCUAGAGACAGCAGGAGUGGUAGAGAUACUCUGAAUGAUCGGCUGUGAAAAGCCAACUGACAUUUACUCCUGAGGUGCUGACUUGUCGCACCCUCGACAACCACUGUGAUUAUUAUUAUUUGACCCUGUUGGUCAUCUAUGAACAUUUGAACAUCUUGGCCAUGUUCUGUUAUAAUCUCCAUCCGGCACAGCCAGAAGAGGACUGGCCACCCCUCAUAGUCUGGUUCCUCUCUAGGUUUCUUACUAGGUUCUGGCCUUUCUAGGAAGUUUUUCCUAGUCACCGUGCUUCUACACCUGCAUUGAUUGCUGUUUGGGGUUUUAGGCUGUGUUUCUGUACAGUACUCUGUGACAUCAGCUGAUGUAAGAAGGGCUUUAUAAAUACAUUUGAUUGAUUUGAUUGAUUGUCUGAUGAAACAGAAAUAGAACUGUUUGGCCAUAAUGACCAUC
rnacentral:lncRNA from 1 species